rnacentral:lncRNA from 1 species
AUCCCAGCACUUUGGGAGGCCGAGGCGGGCGGAUCACUUGAGGUCAGGAGUUCAAGACCAGCCUGGCCAACAUGUGAAACCCCGUCUCUACCAAAAAAUACAAAAAUUAGCUGGGCGUGGUGGCACGUGCCUGUGAUCCCAGAUACUUGGGAGGCUGAGGUGGGAGGAUUGCUUAAACUAGAGGCGGAGGUUGCAAUGAGAUGAGAUCACACCACUGCACUCCAGCCUGGGUAACAGAGUGAGACUGUCUCAAAAAUAAAAUAAAUAAGUAACAUUUUUUUCUGACCUUCCCUGUUCUUUCUGAGACCCCCUUGUUAAAUUUUAAGACUUGCAGUUUUUGAGGCCUGGUUCUGAAGUGAACUACUCAGCAUUACUUGCAAAGGACAGACCUGCAAAGUGACGUUUUGCUGGCAGAAAUGGAGAAGGAGCUGAGUACAGAUUUCAUGUAAUAAAAGUGAAAUGAAAAUGAA